rnacentral:rRNA from 1 species
UACGGAGGGUGCAAGCAUUAAUCGGAUUUAUUGGGCGUAAAGGGCGCGUAGGUGGGUUUGUAAGUCAAGUGUGAAAUUCCGGGGCUCAACUUCGGAACUGCACGUGAAACUACAAGUCUUGAGGAUUGGCGGAGAAAAUGGAAUUCCACAAGUAGCGGUGAAAUGCGUAGAUAUGUGGAAGAACACCGGUGGCGAAGGCGGUUUUCUAGCUAUAACCUGACGCUGAGGCGCGAGAGCAAGGGGAGCAAACAGG